AGUUGAUGAGUUUUCAGAUAUACGGGGAUAAAUCUUUGCCAGUGGCAGCGGUGGCCUCUUCUUGGUCUUAAUGUUGUAGACAUACGGGGAUAAAUCUUUGCCAGUGGCAGCGGUGGCCUCUUCUUGGUCUUAAUGUUGUAGAGAAUGUGGCAGCGGUGGCCUCUUCUUGGUCUUAAUGUUGUAGCAUUUAUCCUCUGUCCAAGUAAGAAGAACAGAUCAAGCGCCACCAUGGUGCUGUCAUUGUGGAGCGCUGAGUACGCAAGCCCUGCCGUGGCACUGUACGAGCCGAGCUUCUUCAACCAGUGGUAGUCGCUAGAGCAGUACAAAGAGGAGCGGAUUGACAUGGCACACAUGAAGGGGAGAAAUGGAUGUGGCCCUGAUGCAGUAGCGGUAGUGGAGUAUUAAAGAUGGAGAUGGCCAGGAGGUAGCCAUGGUUUCGACUACUUCAACUUCCCUUGCUGCCAUGUGAUGGAGGCGAGUUCACUGUGUUGCAGCCAUGGCAGCGUCCGCUUUCUUCUAGGACUCCAUGCUCUAGCUUAUUGUGUUCCACGGCCUCCUCACUGGUAGACUUGUAUGCGAGAAGGUCAAUCCGGGCAGUGCAGCAGGCGUUCCGGAGCGAGAUGAUGGUGACGAGGAUGCCCAAACGUUUGGACAUGAGCUGGAUGAGAAGCUUUCCAUGAUCAAGUGCUGUCCCGCAGCUGUGUUGUCCAGUAGCACAAGUGCUGUCCUCGGCGGCGCUUAUGAGAAGUCCAAGAAGAAGGAGCAAUCAAGUCUCUCAUCUGGAGGUAUAUCUUUCAAAGGCUUCCCUUGAGGAAAGAGGGCCGGUAUGGAUGACAUCCUCAAUGACCUUACCUCAUGGCGGCCCUUUUGACAAAGAGGUUAUGACGGCUCUUCAGGAUGGUGCACUGGAUACUGAUAGUCUGAUGCACGUUGUGAACCACUUGGAAAGAUAUACAUACACAUCGACUGGAUGGCCAGAGCAGCAACUACACAUGUAUUGAGGACUUGGGAGCAUUUGGUCCCGCUUACAGGUAGUAUGGAAUGAUACAUCGACUCUGGGCAUUUCUUGUGUGCCAUCUCUACAUUUUAUGAAGAAAAUACCAGCGGAGAAAUGGAGCCGGCCAGCAGAGCUGGCUCUGGUCGCUGGAUCCAGCCAGCAAGUAGCCUGUGGGUUUUGGUACUUUUCUGGUUGCCUAUUGUGUUGUCUGGGAUCAAUCGUGUGGGAGUGCAAUGAAUGCUUCUUUUCACUAAUACCAGUUAUGGUGAGAUACAUAGCGAGCAACCAGCACUAUUUCGGUUGAGCUCAUCAUGCCUGGUGGUCUAGAUUAUAGUUUUUUUAUAAUAAGGUGAGUUGUGAAUUCAGGUAUAGCAUUUACAGCAUUUUGCAUUAUUGUGCCUUGGAAACUUCUCAUUUUCCAUUAUAAUAUCCCAAUGAUAGGCUCAGUGAAAUUCCAAAGUUUGAGAUGGUCUGCUUGUCUUUUAGUUGAGAUAUGAAGCUAUCUUCAUCUACAUUCCAGAGUGCCAGCCUGCUACAUAGAACCUUGUACAUACUGGCUGCAUAUUAACCUAAGAGCCAAAACACCAUGUCCUAAAUCAUCAUGCUAUUAGGCUCUGUAUCCACUUUAUACCAGUCGAGUCUGGUAAAUAAAAGUGAAAAAAUGGCUAAUCUGAAUGUGGUUUCGUCUCUCAUUAAUAACUGACUAAUAUGUUCUACUCCAUCAUCCUAUACCUAGUAGUAGCACAUGGAGUGACACAUGGCUUGUCUGAAAGAAAUCAUUUUUGCUAUUGUUGUUUUUCCUUUUUGUAAUGGACAGAAAACCAGUGAGUAAUGCUCUGGUUGUGUCGUGUGGGUUGUUUAGUCAAAACCCUCCUUGAAAUCUAUCUAUUCUUGCUAGAUGUUCUCUAGAAGUGACCAAGAUGGCUUGUUUUUGUGCAAGGAUGAUGACGAGGACUAGAUGGCAGCCAGGGUAGCAGCUGUGACCUGUAGCUGCUGCAGCUUGGUGCAUCUUACUCGGAUGGCAGCUGGAAGACUCGUGGGACAAUGGGCAUCAGCAGCUGGAAGACUCGUGGGACAAUGGGCAGCGGCAGCUGGAAGACUCGUGGGACAAUGGACAUCUUCAUAUAUACGGCUUGGUCGUUGAACAAUCUCUAAGCAGAUGCAGCUUUCUUUCUAGCUCCUUAUUUAUCUCUGCAUUAUUUAUGGUUGCAACCGAGCUUUGAGAUUUGAGAGCAUCUUGUAACCUGGCAUGUAUGUGUUGUACGUAACCGUCCCAACUUUCAUUGAUGUUUGUUGUUUGGUAUUGCACUAUUUUUGUUUGAUUAUUCCUUUGGGGAGGUUGAUUGUAGGACUGAAUGUCAAAUGAGUUGUGAUGUGUGCACUCUA